GACGAACGCUGGCGGCGUGCCUAACACAUGCAAGUCGAGCGGAGCCAACCGAUAGAUCCCUUCGGGUGACAUCGGGGAAGCUUAGCGGCGGACGGGUGAGUAACACGUGAGCAACCUGCCUUCAAGAGGGGGACAACAGAGAGAAAUUUCUGCUAAUACCGCAUAAGACCACAGUACCGCAUGGUACAGGGGUCAAAGAUUUAUCGCUUGAAGAUGGGCUCGCGGCUGAUUAGCUAGUUGGUAGGGUAACGGCCUACCAAGGCGACGAUCAGUAGCCGAACUGAGAGGUUGAUCGGCCACAUUGGGACUGAGAUACGGCCCAGACUCCUACGGGAGGCAGCAGUGGGGGGAUAUUGCGCAAUGGGGGAAACCCUGACGCAGCAAUGCCGCGGUNAGGGAGAAGGUCUUCGGAUCGUAAAACUUUUGUCUUCAGGGACGAUAAAUGACGGUACCUGAGGAGGAAAGCCGAACGGCGUAAACCUAACGUGCCAGCAG
rnacentral:rRNA from 1 species